rnacentral:lncRNA from 1 species
GUCGAUGCUUGUGGGGGUUUAUCCGUCGGCAGAACUUGGAAAUGUUGCGGAGGCUCGACCGUCGGAGAGGUUCGAAAAGGUGUCGCUGAAGGUCGGACGUCGGUAGAACCCCUGGAGGGUCAUUCAUGACACGAACUUCGGCUGGGGGGGGAUUUUAUACCCAACACCAGUCUCCCUACUUUCGAGUUUGAGUUUCGAACGAAGGAAGUACAGAAAAAUUUUCACAGUUGAAGUCAUUUCCUUGAAUUCUGCACAUGACCACCCUUGAAAAUCUUGGCAU